GGGUAAACCAGAGUGCUAUAAUGGUCAUACUGGGAUAGCCAGGUUUAUAGUAUCUCUAUAAAGGUAACACUGGGACAGCCAGGUUUAUAUUAGCUAUGUAAUGGUGACAUUGGGACAGCCAGGGAAUGGCUGAGCUCUAUAAUGGUGACCCUGGGACAGCCAGAUUUAUAUUAUCUCUAUAAUGGUAACACUGGGACAGCCAGGUGUACCCAAGAUCCAUAAUGAUGAUGCUGGGACCGUCCGACGUACUUGAGCUUCAAAACGGUGACACUGGGACAGCCAGGUGACCUUGAGCUCUAUUAUGGUGAUGCCUGGAUAACAAUGUGUACUACAAUA